CUCUCUUCCUCUCUCUCUGUAUCUCUCUGUAUCUACCCCUUCCUCUCUCUCUGUAUCUCUUUGUAUCUCUCUCUGUAUCUCUCUGUAUCUCUCUGUAUCUACCCCCUUCCUCUCUCUCUGUAUCUCUCUGUAUCUACCCCUUCCUCUCUCUCUGUAUCUCUCUGUAUCUCUCUCUGUAUCUCUCUGUAUCUACCCCUGCCCUCUCUAUUUCCGUCUCCCUCUAUCUAUCCUGUCAUUUUCCUUAAUGAAUGUAGACCGGAGCAUGAUCUUGUUCCUGAAUGUUUAUGUCAGCUACUUGAGUAGCUGACAUGUCUAUGUCUGUGUCACAAAUGGCAACCUAUACAGAGUAUAGUGUGGGACUUUUGAGCUGGUCUAAACUAGUGCACUAUAUAGGGAAUAGGGUAUCAUUUGUGACGUAGCCUAUGACCAACCUUUUGGUUGCAUGCGUUUAUUGUACAUGUUAGUGUACUCAGCCCGUGGCUGAACAUUUGCUCUGUUCAAUGUGUACAUGCAUGAUAUCAACACUGGAUGUGUACACUAUAUGUGUAUGCAUUUAUUUGUCAAAUGUAUCUGUAGAGUUGAAGUAUGCUGAGGGUUCUACAGUCCAAAUGUAUCUGUAGAGUUGAAGUAUGCUGAGGUUUCUACAAUCCAAAUGUAUCUGUAGAGUUGAAGUAUGCUGAGGUUUCUACAGUCCAAAUGUAUCUGUAGAGUUGAGGUAUGCUGAGGUUUCUACAAUCCAAAUGUAUCUGUAGAGUUGAAGUAUGCUGAGGUUUCUACAGUCCAAAUGUAUCUGUAGAGUUGAAGUAUGCUGAGGUUUCUACAGUCCAAAUUGGACAGCAUGCUGAUAUGUUUUGACAUGGUCGUUCUGUUGUUGACACUGAAUAUUGUGUUGAUCAAUUAUUUUUGAUGUUCCUGUUCCUGUACUCCACAGUAGUUUGUCUUCACUGAUGAGAGUACGGAGAUGUGUACUGGUGGCGGUGCACUAUUGAAAGUGGUACUAUACAUACGGACUCAGUUUCCUAUUUUAGAUAGCAACUCCGUAUCAGAAUUCAAACGGCCAAUAUUUUCAUAUAUUAUAGUUAAACAAAGGUUAAAUAAAUAAAUAUAUAUAUAUAUAUAUUAGGCUCUAUAUGUAUUGUAUGGGGGAUACACAAUUAGCAUUUUGCUCACCGUUUCUACAUUCUACACUAAUACUUAAAUGAAAUAUUGAGAGAAAUUGUGCAAUGGAAAGGUUCAAUAGAAUUUAUGUCUGUCUUCCUCAGGUGGUUUUGUAAAUAAUUAAAAAGCACUGGCAUGCGAAA
ensembl:lncRNA